UACGUAGGGUCCGAGCGUUGUCCGGAAUACUGGGCGUAAAGAGCUCGUAGGUGGUUUGUCGCGUUGUUCGUGAAAACUCACAGCUCAACUGUGGGCGUGCGGGCGAUACGGGCAGACUGGAGUACUGCAGGGGAGACUGGAAUUCCUGGUGUAGCGGUGGAAUGCGCAGAUAUCAGGAGGAACACCGGUGGCGAAGGCGGGUCUCUGGGCAGUAACUGACGCUGGAGGAGCGAAAGCGUGGGGAGCGAACAGG
rnacentral:rRNA from 1 species